GAUGAACGCUGGCGGCGUGCUUAACACAUGCAAGUCGAGCGAGAAAAGUUCUUCGGAGCUUUUCUAGCGGCGGACGGGUGAGUAACACGUGGGCAACCUGCCUCAUAGAGGGGAAUAGCCUUCCGAAAGGAAGAUUAAUACCGCAUAACAUUGUUGAAAGGCAUCUUUUAACAAUCAAAGGAGCAAUCCGCUAUGAGAUGGGCCCGCGGCGCAUUAGCUAGUUGGUGAGGUAACGGCUCACCAAGGCGACGAUGCGUAGCCGACCUGAGAGGGUGAUCGUCCACAUUGGAACUGGGACACGGUCCAGACUCCUACGGGAGGCAGCAGUGGGGAAUAUUGCACAAUGGGGGAAACCCUGAUGCAGCAACGCCGCGUGAGUGAUGAAGGUCUUCGGAUUGUAAAGCUCUGUCUUUAGGGACGAUAAUGACGGUACCUAAGGAGGAAGCCACGGCUAACUACGUGCCAGCCGCCGCAGUAAUAC
rnacentral:rRNA from 1 species